GAGCGAUGAUGAAUCCCAGUGCUCACCGUGCGAUCAUGGGUCGAUCACACCCAUCUGAUAUCCAGAUGAGAACACAGCACCUCUGAGCUC
rnacentral:snoRNA from 1 species